GACGAACGCUGGCGGCGUGCCUAAUACAUGCAAGUCGAACGCUUCUUUCCUCCCGAGUGCUUGCACUCAAUUGGAAAGAGGAGUGGCGGACGGGUGAGUAACACGUGGGUAACCUACCCAUCAGAGGGGGAUAACACUUGGAAACAGGUGCUAAUACCGCAUAACAGUUUAUGCCGCAUGGCAUAAGAGUGAAAGGCGCUUUCGGGUGUCGCUGAUGGAUGGACCCGCGGUGCAUUAGCUAGUUGGUGAGGUAACGGCUCACCAAGGCCACGAUGCAUAGCCGACCUGAGAGGGUGAUCCGCCACACUGGGACUGAGACACGGCCCAGACUCCUACGGGAGGCAGCAGUAGGGAAUCUUCGGCAAUGGACGAAAGUCUGACCGAGCAACGCCGCGUGAGUGAAGAAGGUUUUCGGAUCGUAAAACUCUGUUGUUAGAGAAGAACAAGGACGUUAGUAACUGAACGUCCCCUGACGGUAUCUAACCAGAAAGACACGGCUAACUACGUG
rnacentral:rRNA from 1 species